rnacentral:rRNA from 1 species
CGACCGGCGCACGGGUGAGUAACGCGUAUCCAACCUGCCCUUUACUAUGGGACAGCCCGUCGAAAGGCGGAUUAAUACCGUAUGUUGUCAUGUUGAUGCAUAUUUUCAUGACCAAAGGCUUCGGCCGGUAAAGGAUGGGGAUGCGUCUGAUUAGCUUGCCGGCGGGGUAACGGCCCACCGGGGCGACGAUCAGUAGGGGUUCUGAGAGGAAGGUCCCCCACAUUGGAACUGAGACACGGCCCAGACUCCUACGGAAGGCAGCAG